UGAAUCAGGAUCUGAUGUUGAUGAUUUUGGUCCAUCAUUUGUUCAUAAAGUUUCAGGCUAUGGUUGCUUGACUCCGGUUCGUGAGGAGGUAAAGGGCACAGAUUGUGCAACAUACUUGAGCUGCGAUGAUCAAAGUCACCCGGAUAUGGUUCCUGAAUUUUACCAUGGAGUGCAACGAACUACUGAAAUGGUGCAGAAACAAAUGGCUGAUUUCAGGCAAUAUUCCACCAACGGAAGGCCUCGUGAUUUAGGUAUCUUAUUUU